rnacentral:rRNA from 1 species
GACGAACGCUGGCGGCGUGCUUAACACAUGCAAGUCGAGCGGAAAGGCCACUUCGGUGGUACUCGAGCGGCGAACGGGUGAGUAACACGUGAGUAAUCUGCCCCUGGCUUUGGGAUAGCCACCGGAAACGGUGAUUAAUACCGGAUACGACCACUUCUCGCAUGGGAUGGUGGUGGAAAGUUUUUUCGGCCAGGGAUGUGCUCGCGGCCUAUCAGCUUGAUGGUGAGGUAAUGGCUCACCAUGGCUUCGACGGGUAGCCGGCCUGAGAGGGUGACCGGUCACACUCGGACUGAGACACGGCGCAGACUCCUACGGGAGGCAGCAGGGGGGAAUAUUGGACAAUGGGCGGAAGCAUGUUCCAGCAACGCCGCGUGAGGGAUGACGGCCUUCGGGUUGUAAACCUCUUUCAGCAGGGACGAAGCGCAAGUGACGGUACCUGCAGAAGAAGCACCGGCCAUCUACGUGCCAGCCGCCGCCGUAA